GUUUGGGAGAGUUGUGGUGGGCCCAGUGGGGUUUGCAAUUCUCAUUGGAUCAAAACAAAAGGACCUUAAGAGGUUUUCUUCUUUUCUCUUUUCUUUCUCUCUCAUCCUGUGAGGAGCAUACGACCCACAGUGCUCUCUUAUUCCUCUUGAGCAUGCUCCCUCCACCCCACGCUCCAAUACCUGCCUAUCCCACCAGAUUUAGCCAAACAGACCCUCAGCAAGAUAUGGGACCUGACUUCUGAGAGAGGGUACACGUUUGCCAUUAGAAGCCAGUCCAGUAAGCAUUUUUCAUCAGUUAUGACCUUAGAAAAGCUUUGAUCAAAGGCAUCAUGAUAUUUUAAAUGAGUUUCAUAAUCAAAAAAUAAUUUACCAUAUCUGCUCUAUAAAGCUUACCUUUGCCUGCUCAUGGGCCAGCUUCAUUCUUCUAUACUCUUGUUGCGCUCGAUGUGAACGAAACAUAGCUUGGACCCAUACGACUGAUCUUUUCAUGCGUUCUUCAGCUUGCUCCCUACUAAUUUUGAAAAAUUCCUCCUCUGAAGUGCUUUCUUCUUCCGUAUCCACUUUCAUUGCUUCUUUUGGUACAACUCGAAUACCGCGUAAGCCCUUCCUCUUCAACCGCCAACGCAAAACUGCUUUCUCGAGCACUCCAACUGACCAUAAAAUUUUGCAGUAUUGCCUUCUCACUUGGUGACCUCGGAAUGCAGCCUAAGCAGACAUUCUCACUGAAUCAGAUGAUCAAGAAAAUCCUAUAGGCAAGACGCUGCAUGACAUGAUAGCUACCAUAUCAUAGUUUCAAAAGUUUUAAUUGCAUCAUUUUAAGGACUGCAGCUUCCUUAUGGUAGACUACAAAUGACCAACGAUACUUGAAUUGACUAUAUAGAGGACAAUAGAAUUUCAACUCCACAAAAUGAAUAAAAUUUCUAUUGCCUAAAUCCAUACACAAGAUUACCUGGAUCUUGAUAGUUUGUUUACGCAUAUUAAGGAAAUUCCUUCGAAUCCUCCAGGUGCGGAAAUGGCUUUGUAUUCGUGCAGCAGCCCUCAUCGUCCUUCGUCUACUGUAAUUGCGGAAGGCAUGCUGAAUCUUUAGAGCAGAAACUAUCUGGGCGGCUUCAAUUUCAGGUUUGACCAACCGAAUCGCUUUCAUUUGUUGCUUCAAAAUGCGCUCCUUAAAUGCAGCUUGUAUACGACCUGCUGCAUCAGCAGCAUUUCUGUAGGCUGCUAAUGAUUCUUUUAGACAGAGUUCUUGCUCAGUAAGGUUCUCAGGAUAUACAUUCUCAGAGUUCACUUGGUUGGUUGGACUAGGUGGCAUUGGUGCAGUUAUGUUCCCCGACAAGGACAUAGCCUGGACAUGUGCAGUUAAUCCUUUUUCUGCAAGAUAGGCAGCCAAGCCUCCAUACCCUU
rnacentral:lncRNA from 1 species